rnacentral:rRNA from 1 species
ACGGAAGGCAGCAGUGGGGGAUAUUGCACAAUGGGGGAAACCCUGAUGCAGCGACGCCGCGUGAGUGAAGAAGUAUUUCGGUAUGUAAAGCUCUAUCAGCAGGGAAGAUAAUGACGGUACCUGACUAAGAAGCACCGGCUAAAUACGUGCCAGCAGCCGCGGUAAUACGUAUGGUGCAAGCGUUAUCCGGAUUUACUGGGUGUAAAGGGGGCGCAGACGGCAUAGCAAGCCAGAUGUGAAAGGUGGGGGCUCAACCCCCAAACUGCAUUUGGAACUGUUAAGCUAGAGUGUCGGAGAGGUAAGUGGAAUUCCUAGUGUAGCGGUGAAAUGCGUAGAUAUUAGGAGGAACACCAGUGGCGAAGGCGGCUUACUGGACGAUAACUGACGUUGAGGCUCGAAAGCGUGGGGAGCAAACAGGAUUAGAUACCCUGGUA